rnacentral:sRNA from 1 species
AGCUACAUCCGUCACCUGACACGGCCCUACCAGGAACAGCCGCGCUCCCGCGGAUUCUGGUGCUGCUCGCGUCCCCGCUCCCCUAUUCCCCUUAUUUUAUUCCUGGCUCCCCUCGUCGAAAGUCUUCCAUUCUUCAAACUAGAUUAUUUAAAAAUGAAAAAGGAAGAAAGGAAAGCGAGGUCAUCUCAUUGCUCUAUCCGCCAAUCAGGAGGCUGAAUGUCAGUUUUGAACUAAAAGCCGCUCCGCUCCUCUUCUAGAUUUGGAAAACAAGCGAAAUUAAACUAAACCGCUGCACGCCUCUGACGCGACAUCUGGACACGGCGCGGCGCUGGCGCUGCCGGAGCUGUCGACCCGGCCUGGCGCCGGACUAGUGUCCCUUUUGAUGAGAAGAAUAAGCCUCAUUCUGAUUCAACAGCAGAGAUCAAAGAAAAGACUUCUGUUUUCUGGCCACCAGAUAUAUGUUAUCUGUGCUUAAAGAAUUGAAAAACACACAUCAAAGGAGAAUUUUCUUGGAAAGAGAGGGUUCAAGCAUCACUGUUAGGUGUGCUGGAAUCCUUUCCCGAGUCAGUACUGCUUUCUAGAAGAAAACCGGGGAGAUCUAUUUGGAAUGUAUCUAACUCCAAAGAAACCAUCAGAGGUAACAGUAGAGACGGGGUUUCACCAUGUUGGCCAGACUGGUCUUGAACUCUCGACCUCGUGAUUCGCCCGCCUCGGCCUCCCAAAGUGCUGGGAUUACAGGUGUGAGACACCACACCCGGCGGAUAGAGAGAAUUUUGACAGUAUCUUACAGACAGCAAGUUGAACAUUGUGGGAUGCAUGAGCUAUUGAGGCCUUUGCAGCUUUCUGCUACAUGGAGGCUAGGGCCAGAGUCAAGAUUUAUGCUUUGCAGCACACUGGUCAGCUGUUUUUGCAAAUCAGAUUAAAUGAUUUUUAAAUGAGGCUGAGAGCAUGGGAGAUACUAAUGUGUGUUUCCUUGUGAGCUACUGCAUAAGUUAGGAAAUUGAAAUACAGAAAGAUGAAAAGUGAUUUGCCCAAGCAUAUAGAUCAAAGCUGUGGCAGAACCAGGACUGGAACCUAUAUCUCUCUACUAAUGGUUUUUUUAAAAAAAUAACCUUGUUUCAAAAAUAUUAAAAAGUCACAAGAAAGGUAAACAUGUGGAUAAACAAAAUGAAGAAAAUAAAAAUUAUCCAGUAAUAACAUAUUGGCAUAUGUCUUUCUGGUAUAUUUUCCUGUGUUGUCAUCAUUAUCAUCUCCAUCAUCAUUAUAUCCAUCAUUAUCAUCAUCAUCAUCAUCAUCAUCAUCAUUAUCAUCACCAUAGUGAACAUGUAAUGCUUACCUAGUGCCAGAUGCUGUCUAGGCAUUUUACAUGUGUUACUGGUAACUCAUGUAAUCCUCAUAACAACCUUAUAAGGUGGUUGCUAUUAUCCCCAUGUUACAUAUGAAGAGACAGAAGCAUAAAGAAGUUGCACCGCUGGUAAUUGGCUGGGAUUUGAACUUAAGCAGUCUAACCUUAGAGUAAUGAUUUUAACAACUAUGCUAUAUACAUACAAAUUUACAAAAUAAAACUGGGCUCAGACAAUAAAAAAAAAAAAAAAAAAAAAAAAA